rnacentral:rRNA from 1 species
UAGCUAGUUGGUGGGGUAACGGCUCACCAAGGCGACGAUACAUAGCCGACCUGAGAGGGUGAUCGGCCACACUGGGACUGAGACACGGCCCAGACUCCUACGGGAGGCAGCAGUAGGGAAUCUUCGGCAAUGGACGGAAGUCUGACCGAGCAACGCCGCGUGAGUGAAGAAGGUUUUCGGAUCGUAAAGCUCUGUUGUAAGAGAAGAACGAGUGUGAGAGUGGAAAGUUCACACUGUGACGGUAUCUUACCAGAAAGGGACGGCUAACUACGUGCCAGCAGCCGCGGUAAUACGUAGGUCCCGAGCGUUGUCCGGAUUUAUUGGGCGUAAAGCGCGCGUAGGCGGUAAAAUAAGUCUGAUGUGAAAGCCCCCGGCUCAACCGGGAGGGUCAUUGGAAACUGUUUACUUAGUCGUGGAGG